rnacentral:rRNA from 1 species
GACGAACCGUGCGAACGUUGUUCGGAAUCACUGGGCUUAAAGGGCGCGUAGGCGGGCGAUCAAGUCUGGGGUGAAAGCCUCCGGCCUAACCGGAGAAGAGCUUCAGAUACUGGUCGCCUCGAGGGAGGUAGGGGCAUGCGGAACUUCCGGUGGAGCGGUGAAAUGCGUAGAGAUCGGAAGGAACGCCGGUGGCGAAAGCGGCGUGCUGGACCUCUUCUGACGCUGAGGCGCGAAAGCCAGGGGAGCAAACGGG